rnacentral:rRNA from 1 species
CAGUGUCUGGUGGGUAGUUUGACUGGGGCGGUCUCCUCCUAAAGAGUAACGGAGGAGCACGAAGGUUGGCUAAUCCUGGUCGGACAUCAGGAGGUUAGUGCAAUGGCAUAAGCCAGCUUGACUGCGAGCGUGACGGCGCGAGCAGGUGCGAAAGCAGGUCAUAGUGAUCCGGUGGUUCUGAAUGGAAGGGCCAUCGCUCAACGGAUAAAAGGUACUCCGGGGAUAACAGGCUGAUACCGCCCAAGAGUUCAUAUCGACGGCGGUGUUUGGCACCUCGAUGUCGGCUCAUCACAUCCUGGGGCUGAAGUAGGUCCCAAGGGUAUGGCUGUUCGCCAUUUAAAGUGGUACGCGAGCUGGGUUUAGAACGUCGUGAGACAGUUCGGUCCCUAUCUGCCGUGGGCGCUGGAGAACUGAGGGGGGCUGCUCCUAGUACGAGAGGACCGGAGUGGACGCAUCACUGGUGUUCGGGUUGUCAUGCCAAUGGCACUGCCCGGUAGCUAAAUGCGGAAGAGA